GUGUAAACAUGGCUUUACUGGCGUCACAUGCACAGUUGAAGAUGGCAUAGGUUGUACGGACUCUAGUACUCCGUCAGCAUACUGCGGAGGGAGUUGCGUUGGACCCGGGUCUUCUUGUGGCUGCGAGACGGGAUGGAAAGGACCCGACUGUGAUGCUGUUGAUCACGGUAGUACGUGCGAGUAUGAGGGUCAACCACAACACUGCGAAGCUUGUUUGGGAGAUGAACGCGGCCCACCCUGUUUAUGUGAAGUUGAAUGGCACGGGUUGUCAUGCACAAUAGAUUAUGUCCCUCCGAUAUUCGUCACCUGCCAGGAUAAUAUCACCAAAACGACAGUAAACAGCAGCAGUCUGACAAUUAUAUGG